rnacentral:rRNA from 1 species
UACGGGGGGAGCAAGCGUUGUUCGGAUUUACUGGGCGUAAAGGGCGCGUAGGCGGCCACCGCAAGUCGACUGUGAAAUCUCCGGGCUUAACUCGGAAAGGUCAGCCGAUACUGCGGGGCUAGAGUGCAGAAGGGGCAACUGGAAUUCUCGGUGUAGCGGUGAAAUGCGUAGAUAUCGAGAGGAACACCAGUGGCGAAGGCGGCUCACUGGCCCGAUACUGACGCUGAGGCACGAAAGCGUGGGGAGCAAACAGG